AGCUACAAGUCAAGGCCAGCACAGAGAGAAGGGAAUUGCUCUGGAGAAGGGAGCAAUCAGGGUAGAACUAUAGCAUAAAUAGACACCAAUUAUGCUGAAGCAAUUUGCAUGGAAAUACUUGCCCGACAUCCAGGGUUGCUGUUGAGGCUCCAUGGGGAAGACAGGGCAGAAUCAGAGGGAAACUUGGUACUCAUAAGUGACUGUCAAAUCCCAUGAGAUGAAGACAUUGUUGAGGAAGAAAGAACAGAUGAAAAAAAACUCCUGAAGAAUUAGAUUCUGAAGAUUUAUUCAGUAUCACAGCAGAGACCAAGAAUUCAGCCACAGAGACUUGCUCUGGGAUGAAGUGUUCUGAAGAUCAAGCUCAUUUGACUUUCCAUUGGAACUAAUUGGAACAGCCACAUCUUCUUAGCUUCCUGGACAUAUUAAGGAACUUGAUCAGCGGGUAGAAAACAAUAUAUAUUUGAUCUAUCUGCAGUGAAUUUGCUUACUCCUAACUAUCUGUGCAUGUGUACCCUCUCUCUCUCUCUCUCUCUCUCUCUCUCUCUCUCUCUCUCUCACACACACACACACACACACACACACACACACACACACACACACACACAACAUGUACAAACACA
rnacentral:lncRNA from 1 species